UCAGCAGCCAAAGAGGCAGGAGUUCCCUAAGUCAGGAUGUGGGAAGAAGCCUGACCACAGUUUUGAUUUUUAACAUAAUUGGCCAGAAGGUGAACAGCUUUGUGAAGUUGAGAGAGAGUUUGGAUUACAUCAGGAGAAAGACCAUGUUUUGAGACUGCCUGGUGAUUUUUGGAUCUCUUGUAAAGAUAGAUGGAGAGGCAUGACACACCAAGAUGAAUACAGUCCCGACUCAUACUUUGAAUGGAGCCAAAGGACUGAAGAAGCCUGGAGAAGAAAUUAUCCACUUUCUGAAAUAAGCAGUCCCUUUAGUUCAGGGGAGAGGCAAAUAUGUGAAAUAGCAUCAGGGAACUCACAGUGCACCUGUCUAUACUCUAUUUGAGGGGUUCAGUAUCCACCGGCUGUCAGUCUGGCACCUUUUCCAACAGUAUUUAAAAUUCCUCUCCAAUAAAAUGAAAUGAUGGUCUCAAACACCAUGUGAAAGGUCAGGUAUAUAACUUGACUUCCCCUUAAAAAGUUUGUCUUAUAAUUCAAGAAUAACAUGCCUUGGUGUCAAGAGGCUUGUGCUCCUGCCCCUUUCCUGAAGGCCAGCAGAUAACAUUAGUUUCUUUUGCCAUCAUCCCUAGAUCAGGAUCAAAGUGAAAAUGGAUUGAAAGGUUUGCAAUAAAAUAUUAUUGUAUUUCUUUUCCUCCUUUCCUAUGUGCUGGAAAGAAAUAUUUUGCACAAAGAACAUGACAUGUAGCUUUCAUGAAGAUCUAAAGCAGUUAAAAUAGUCAACAUUUUCUCCAUCUAUUACACAAGGAGCUCAGUUGUCCCUUCAAGUAACACUGGAAAAGCAAGAAUUCCUUAGACAGGACAAUGCUUCCAGGAAUGAAGACAAAUGUUGUCAUGAUUGCUCUGUGCAUGCACUUUAAUAUUUUAAGUUAUUAGAUUUAUAUGCCACCCUCUACAGAAGAUGCUCCAGGCCGCUUACAAUAAAAAAAAGAUACAUUAUAAAUAGAUAAAAGAUGUUAAAUGAUAUGUAAUAGAACCAACUUCCCAGACAAUGUUGCAAAACUAAAUCAAACACAUUUUUUCCAGUACUGGAUUGUUACCAUUAUUUAUGGCGUGCUCUAAUUGAACAACAUAAGGGAUAAUGAUUUCAAAAGAGGGUUCUAAGUCACUUAGGUAAAGUAUUAAUUGUCAGUUUUGAAAAGAAGGUUUGGGUAGUUUGAAUAAUUUGUCUCUUUAGGUUUCUAAUAUGCAUACUACAAUGUGUAGCACAAUGAGACUACAAUGUAGUUUAAGACUGGAGAGAAUGUCCCUAGUUGUUAUUGCAAUGCAAAUAAGAUUGCAGCAAUAGUUUGGAUAAUUGUAAACUACAGUGACAGUUUUGACAAUCAGAGUACUUAUUCAAAUUCUACAAGUGAAUCCAUAUAUAUCUCUUUUUAAUAAUUCUUAAAAUAUCAGCUGAAUUUAGUCAUUCUACCAUUCAAGGUCACUGGUUGGAUGAAUUCUGUGCAUCCAGCAACUCUUGGUUUUCCAAAAGUAAUAAAGUUAAGACAGUAAGGGUUUGCUUAAUGUACAAUGAAAUGAUACACACGGGGAUAGCUUUUUCUGGCAAAUGGCAGGAUGGGCUGAAAUUUGGCCAAAUACUCAGUAGCCUCAUUCAAACAGAAAACAGUGAACAACCCCCACUCUAAAACACCAAGGUUGGUCUGGCAGCUUCAGUAUUAGUUUACCACUUGUCCAUCUAAACAAAGGAUCUUCGGGGUUUGAAAACAUGUUAUUAUUUGUUGGUCCAACAAAAACAUGCUCUUCUAUCUCUGGAGGACUAAUUCAGCUGCUAUCAUUUACCACAGCUGAGAAAAAAACUUCAGUUACUUAUUUGUGCGUCUAAUAAAAGAGCAACUGAGUAACUACCCCAUUUUAAAGGAAAAGCAAGCAAGAUACCAGUUAGAAUACAUUUUUGUGGGCUGCUCCAACAUAUCUAUAUAAAUAAAAGAUAUUUGAGGGUGGACCUGGGGUAGGAAACAGGCUACAAAAUUCCGCUCCUGGAUGUCAAUGCAUGUGACUCCUAUCCAGUGUCACAGGAAACAUGAAAAUGCAUCCAAGGUCAGAAGUUUAAUAACAUGUACAGCAAGAGCACAGGAAAUAAAAUACAUUAGAAGAUGGGUCUGCUACAGGAAUAUAAUCUGAUAAAUGUAUAUACUUCUGUGUAUCCAGCUGUGUAUUCAAUAAAACAAUGCACGCCUGUUAACUGAAUACAUUAUGUUUCACGCUUGCCAAAAUACGUCUUGAAAAUAAGUUAUCCAUUUAACAGAGUUUCUUUGAAAGGAUCUACAAAGAAUACUUAUUUGUUAG